rnacentral:rRNA from 1 species
CCUACGGGAGGCAGCAGUAAGGAAUAUUGGUCAAUGGGCGCAAGCCUGAACCAGCCAUGCCGCGUGCAGGAAGACGGCCCUACGGGUUGUAAACUGCUUUUGUACCAGAAUAAACCCUUUUACGAGUAAGAGGCUGAAUGUACGGUAAGAAUAAGGAUCGGCUAACUCCGUGCCAGCAGCCGCGGUAAUACGGAGGAUCCAAGCGUUAUCCGGAUUUAUUGGGUUUAAAGGGUGCGUAGGUGGCCUAUUAAGUCAGGGGUGAAAGACGGUAGCUUAACUAUCGCAGUGCCUUUGAUACUGAUGGGCUUGAAUGAACUAGAGGUAGGCGGAAUGUGACAAGUAGCGGUGAAAUGCAUAGAUAUGUCACAGAACACCAAUUGCGAAGGCAGCUUACUAUGGUUUUAUUGACACUGAGGCACGAAAGCGUGGGGAUCAAACAG